CCUACGGGUGGCAGCAGUGGGGAAUAUUGGACAAUGGGGGGAACCCUGAUCCAGCGACGCCGCGUGAGUGAAGAAGGAUUUCGGUAUGUAAAGCUCUAUCAGCAGGGAAGAAAAGGACGGUACCUGACUAAGAAGCCACGGCUAACUACGGGCCAGCAGCCGCGGGAAUACGGAGGGGGCAAGCGUGAUCCGGAUUUACUGGGGGUAAAGGGAGCGUAGACGGUGCAGCAAGUCUGAUGUGAAAGGUCGGGGCCCAACCCCGGGACUGCAUUUGAAACUGUUGAACUGGAGUACAGGAGAGUUAAGCGGAAUUCCUAGUGUAGCGGUGACAUGCGUCGAUAUUAGGAGGAACACCAGUGGCGACGGCGGCUUACUGGACUGUAACUGACGUUGAGGCUCGAAAGCGUGGGGAGCAAACAGGAUUAGAUACCCCUGUAGUC
rnacentral:rRNA from 1 species